UACGUAGGGGGCAAGCGUUAUCCGGAUUUACUGGGUGUAAAGGGAGCGUAGACGGCAGUGCAAGUCUGAAGUGAAAGGCGGGGGCCCAACCCCCGGACUGCUUUGGAAACUGUGCUGCUGGAGUGCAGGAGUGGCAAGUGGAAUUCCUAGUGUAGCGGUGAAAUGCGUAGAUAUUAGGAGGAACACCAGUGGCGAAGGCGGCUUGCUGGACUGUAACUGACGUUGAGGCUCGAAAGCGUGGGGAGCAAACAGG
rnacentral:rRNA from 1 species